rnacentral:rRNA from 1 species
UUUGAUCCUGGCUCAGGAUGAACGCUGGCGGUAUGCUUAACACAUGCAAGUCGAACGGGAUGCUUAGGCAUCUAGUGGCGGACGGGUGAGUAACGCGUGAGAAUCUGGCUCCAGGUCGGGGAUAACAGUUGGAAACGACUGCUAAUACCGGAUGUGCCGAGAGGUGAAAGAUUUAUUGCCUGGAGAUGAGCUCGCGUCUGAUUAGCUAGUUGGUGGUGUAAGGGACCACCAAGGCAUCGAUCAGUAGCUGGUCUGAGAGGAUGAUCAGCCACACUGGGACUGAGACACGGCCCAGACUCCUACGGGAGGCAGCAGUGGGGAAUUUUCCGCAAUGGGCGAAAGCCUGACGGAGCAAUACCGCGUGAGGGAGGAAGGCUCUUGGGUCGUAAACCUCUUUUCUCAAGGAAGAAGAAAGUGGCGGUACUUGAGGAAUAAGCAUCGGCUAACUCCGUGCCAGCAGCCGCGGUAAUACGGAGGAUGCAAGCGUUAUCCGGAAUGAUUGGGCGUAAAGGGUCUGCAGGUGGAACUGAAAGUCUGCUGUUAAAGAGUUUGGCUUAACCAAAUAAAAGCGGUGGAAACUACAGAACUAGAGUGUGGUAGGGGCAAAAGGAAUUCCUGGUGUAGCGGUGAAAUGCGUAGAUAUCAGGAAGAACACCGGUGGCGAAAGCGUUUUGCUAGACCAUAACUGACACUGAGGGACGAAAGCUAGGGGAGCGAAUGGGAUUAGAUACCCCAGUAGUCCUAGCCGUAAACGAUGGAUACUAGGCGUGGCUUGUAUCGACCCGAGCCGUGCCGGAGCUAACGCGUUAAGUAUCCCGCCUGGGGAGUACGCACGCAAGUGUGAAACUCAAAGGAAUUGACGGGGGCCCGCACAAGCGGUGGAGUAUGUGGUUUAAUUCGAUGCAACGCGAAGAACCUUACCAAGACUUGACAUCCUGCGAAUCCUGGUGAAAGCUGGGAGUGCCUUAGGGAGCGCAGAGACAGGUGGUGCAUGGCUGUCGUCAGCUCGUGUCGUGAGAUGUUGGGUUAAGUCCCGCAACGAGCGCAACCCUCGUUUUUAGUUGCCAGCAUUAAGUUGGGCACUCUAGAGAGACUGCCGGUGACAAACCGGAGGAAGGUGAGGAUGACGUCAAGUCAGCAUGCCCCUUACGUCUUGGGCUACACACGUACUACAAUGCUACGGACAGAGGGCAGCAAGCCAGGGAUGGCAAGCGAAUCCAGAAACCGUAGCUCAGUUCAGAUCGAAGGCUGCAACUCGCCUUCGUGAAGGAGGAAUCGCUAGUAAUUGCAGGUCAGCAUACUGCAGUGAAUUCGUUCCCGGGCCUUGUACACACCGCCCGUCACACCAUGGAAGUUGGUCACGCCCGAAGUCAUUACCCCAACCGAAAGGAGGGGGAUGCCUAAGGUAGGACU